rfam:Capsicum annuum cultivar Zunla-1 chromosome 8, whole genome shotgun sequence
AACUGAUGAUGUAGACACUCCUAAAGAAGAGACUUGAAUAUCUCCCAAGCAUAAUAAAAGAUCUCAAUUGGCUUCUGCUUAAAGCUUAAAAUCUCAUUGUGUAGUU